GCCGUCGUAGCUCAGUUGGUAGAGCGCUUCGCUGUUAACGAAGUAGUCCCAGGUUCGAAUCCUGGCGACGGCG
rnacentral:tRNA from 1 species